AACGCACAUUGCGCCCCUUGGCAUUCCGGGGGGCAUGCCUGUUCGAGCGUCAUUGUCAAAACCUCAAGCCUGGCUUGGUGUUGGGCUCUCGCUCUCUCCUCCUGAAGAGGGGGAGGGGCGUGCCCGAAAAUCAUUGGCGGUGCUUCGAUGGCCUCAAGCGUAGUGGACUUGCUCGCGCUUUGGAGCGUCCGUCGUGGGCUCACCAGCCUCGAAUGUGCUUUGUCACACAAGAAGCUUGACCUCGGAUCAGGUAGGGAUACCCGCUGAACUUAA
rnacentral:misc_RNA from 1 species